AACGAACGCUGGCGGCAUGCCUAACACAUGCAAGUCGAACGAGACCUUCGGGUCUAUUGGCGCACGGGUUCGUAACGCGUGGGAACCUGCCCUUAGGUUCGGAAUAACUCCCCGACAGGGGUGCUAAUACCGGAUAAUGUCUUCGGACCAAAGAUUUAUCGCCUUUGGAUGGGCCCGCGUUGGAUUAGCUAGUUGGUAGGGUAAAAGCAUACCAAGGCGACGAUCCAUACAUGGUCUGAGAGGAUGAUCAGCCACACUGGGACUGAGACACGGCCCAGACUCCUACGGGAGGGAGCAGUGGGGAACAUUGCACAAUGGGCGAAAGCAUGAUCCAGCAAUGCCGCGUGAGUGAUGAAGGCCUUAGGGUUGUAAAGCUCUUUUAACCGGGAUGAUAAUGGCAGUACCGGGAGAAUAAGCCCCGGCUAACUACGUG
rnacentral:rRNA from 1 species